rnacentral:rRNA from 1 species
UACAGAGGUCUCAACCGUUGUUCGGAUUCAUUGGGCGUAAAGGGUGCGUAGGCGGCGGGGUAAGUCAGGUGUGAAAUCUCGGGGCUCAACCCCGAAACUGCACUUGAUACUGCCUCGCUUGAGUACUGGAGAGGAGACUGGAAUUUACGGUGUAGCAGUGAAAUGCGUAGAUAUCGGGAGGAACAUCUGUGGCGAAGGCGACACCCUGGACCAGCACUGACACUGAGGCACGAAAGCGUGGGGAGCAAACAGG